AAUUUGGGUUCGUAGGAGCUUGCGCAAGUAUAUUCAGAACUUGAGUGUGUCUACUGUUGGCGUUGGUGUAAUGGGUUACAUUGGUAACAAGGUCUGUUCCACACAUUUUUAAGGUAGUUUUUGAAUGUUUUGAUUGUUCUUAUCUUGUCAGCAUUUUGAUUUGAUUUUUAGUGUUCCAUUUGGCUUAUUAUCCAACUUACUUUCAGUAACUUGUGUCAAAGCAUAUAUUGCCUUAAUAUAAUGUUAACUUUAUAUGUCUGUAAGACCUAACUGGAAACAUUUGUUUCUUGAUCUGAUGAUUAUGAUGUUGCAACAUUUAGUGGGUGACAGGUGCUUGCGUUCUUUUUAAUUAUAUUGACUUUCAUUACGGAGUAUUUAUCAAGAAUAUUUUUACUUUUUGAGAAUAUCUUAGACAUCAACUUCAUAGAAUGCAGAAGGUGAUGCAAACAUUCAGAGCUGUUUUGAGUGGUUCGCAUUCACAUUUGUUCAGAAAUAACCUGUUGAAAUACAAUUACCUGAGAUCUAAUUCAUGCAAAUAAGAAAUGCUUCAUCAUUUUAGCUUCCAAUUCCUCCAAUUUGAUAUCAUGCAAGCAGAAAUUAGUAACCAAAUUUUGAUUAGUAAUUGUAUCUUUGAUGUUUCAUUUAUGAAAUGCAUCAAGACUUAUUCUUUAUGGAAGUUCUUCAAACAGUAAGAAUGUUCUUCAAUCUCCCAGGGAUCAAUAUCAGUCAGUAUGUCUAUAUAUGAGACUCUUUUCUGUUUUAUAUGUACUCACCUGACGUCAGGUGAAAAAGAUGGAGAUGAA
rnacentral:misc_RNA from 1 species